rnacentral:rRNA from 1 species
CUACGGGAUGCUCCAGUGAGGAAUAUUGCACAAUGGGGGGAACCCUGAUGCAACAACGCCGCGUGGAGGAUGACGCAUUUCGGUGUGUAAACUCCUUUUAUAUGUCAAGAAAAUGACGGUAGCAUAUGAAUAAGCACCGGCUAACUCCGUGCCAGCAGCCGCGGUAUACGGAGGGUGCAAGCGUUACUCGGAAUCACUGGGCGUAAAGGACGCGUAGGCGGGUUGGAAAGUCAGGUGUGAAAUCCUACAGCUUAACUGUAGAACUGCACUUGAAACUUCUAAUCUAGAGUAUGGGAGGGGGAGAUGGAAUUAGUGGUGUAGGGGUAAAAUCCGUAGAUAUCACUAGGAAUACCUAAAGCGAAGGCGAUCUCCUGGAACAUUACUGACGCUAAGGCGUGAAAGCGUGGGGAGCAAACAGGAUUAGAUACCCGUGUAGUC